UGGAAUUGAACGAGCCAGAACUGGAGACGAAGGAUCCCCUCUCUCUGUUGUGCAAUCUCCCUUCGAUACUGAUCCAGGGCAACCAUGGAUUAUUGGAUCCUUGACCCAAUCCUUGUUUAUUCCUGAAGGCAGAGUCAGCAUUAGUUACGAAUAUGUUCAACUGGGUGACUCUGUUGAGAGUAAUGAGUGGGUAGCUGUUGAGGUUCAGCUUGCAGGAACCGUCGUUAAAGUUGGCUACUCAAAUGCCAUUUCAGGUUUCUUCACUAUUCACAGAGCUUCCACAGCCAAUACCUAUAAAUUUCAGUUCUGUUCAACUGCUGGGUCCUGCAGUAAUGUUGGGAUUGUUAGGGAUGAAGCAGGGAACAGGAUUUUGGCCAUCAAUCAGGGUACCCCAUUUUUCGAGUUUUAUCUUCAGGAACUUCCCUAUGAAGUAUCUAAAUGAAGCUCUGAACAUGAAAACAUGGUACACUUUCUCCGUUAGAGAGAGGUGUCUACGAUGUGCUUUGGACGUAAUUAACUACACAACACUAAAUAAAUAACAUAUCCAAAGCUUAUUUCUGUUUCUUCUUUCUUUUUAAUAUUUAAAAACUUUUACCUCUCCCAAUUUAUUAUAUCAUAAUUUAUUAAAAAGAAAUAAAAUUAUAUUCUAUAAAACAUAGGAAACUGUAACUUAAAAAAAUUUAAAUAAAUUCAGUAAAAAUAUUAAACCAUUUAUAUUAUUUUUUAUAAAAAUUAAAUUAGUAAAUUAUCAUUAUAAUGAUUUUUUUAUGAAAAAAUAUGAAUUUUAAACUAUAUAUGUUUAUAAAAAUGUAAAUUUUUCUCUAUCAUUUUCUAAAACGAAAUUAAUUGUUUAUAAUAAAAAAAAAUACAUAGUGUAUAUGUUUUUACAAGGUUUAUAAAUUAUAUUAUUUACUCGAGCACCCAUAUUAUUUUACAUAAAAUGCUUCAUAACAUUUUUUUCCUCUUUUAUAUUUAUAGUAAUAAUUACAUGUUUUUGUCUAUUUAUGUUUUACUUUAUGUGAUUCCUAUAAUUUUAAAAAAGACCCAAUAUAGUCCUUAUAUUUGAUAAAGAUACAUGUACCUCAAUGUUAACUAAUUUUAUUGUUUAUAAUUCACACAUGCACAUUGAACUUUCAUAUUUCUUUUUCAUUAAAAACACUAGUCACCAUAAGAAAAAUUGAUAUUAUUAACGGUCAAAAUUUGUCUCACAGUGUUUAAUAAAACCUUACAAUAUCAUAAUGUUUCUGAUUUUUUAUGAUGACAACACAUUAUUAAUAACACAUGUAUUGAUAUGUGUUACAUGUUCGUUACUUUCCUGUGUAUGAUUACUUGAGCACAUGUUUGUGUUAAUUCUGUCAUUGUGUGCAAUUUAACUUUGUUCUACAUGAGAUAUUAUCUGUGAUUGCAUAACAUAUGAUUUGGAAAAGAAAAACCACAUGCACUUUUGUUGAACUUAUAUUGUGUGGCAAAAUAAUAGUUUUAAGUCGACUUCAUUAUGAAGCAAGUCAAUUAAAACUCGUGUCUUUGCACAAACAUUUUCAAAGUGUGCUAUGAACAGUUCUGCAAAGAAAGUUUUUCAAAACUGCAUUGAAGUGUAACUUAGUCGACUAUGUGCGCAAGCCAUUCGACUUAGUUAGUUUUGUUUUGAAAAUCUGUUAAUGCUUGUGAAGUAUAACGACUAUAUUUUGUAUCUUUGACCAAGCAUUAAUUGUUAGUCAACUGUAUUAAAUGUGUAAUCAAUUUAGUUGGUCUGAUUGCUAUUAUCUAUUAUAACUGUUAUAACUGUCUGCAUUGAGUCGACUGCAUUAGUCGCACAAUCGAUUAGUGGAGCGCCUAUUUUGUGAUAAACUAUAUAUAAAUGCGAGUUUGAUUUCAAAAAGAGACUUUUGUGAUUUCAGUGAUUCUUUUCAAAUUUUGUAGAACGUGCUAAGCUCCAAGAACUCAUCAAGAAGACCGUGGUGAUCGUUCUUUGGUGGUUGCUUGAAGAGCAAGUGUUUGUGAUGAUAGAAAGAUUGAUCAUACUACACAUAAAGGUGUUUGGAACGUGAUCGACUACUUCUCUCAAUCUUUGGAAGAUUGUAGCUGCCCUGUUCUGAUUACAGGAAGAGGAGGUGAUGCGUCCAAAGACUCUAAGGAUUGUUCAAAGUGAUUAAAGAUUGUAGGAGAGGGGAUAUCUUGUUGAUGUUCUUUGUGUGUAUAUGCCUAUAUUUUGACGUGGAGAUCUCUAUAAAAACGUUGUUGUAAAAACCUUGACCAUUAUAGUGCAUUUUCUUCCGGGUACGAGAAGGACACUAGAUGUAGGCAGUUUGGCCGAACCAGUAUAAAAAUUGCGUUCAAAUCUUCUAUCCCAACACUUUUACAUUUCAAGUCAACUUUACUUUUAACGUACUCAACUAUCUUCCGCUGCACUUGAAUUAUCUUUUUCCUUGCGAUUCAAGAAACUUUUGAAAGUUCUAUCUUUUACGAAAAAGAUUUUAAAAAGACUCUGAUUUUUUUAUUUCACCAAUUCACCCCCUUUCUUGGUGUUGAAACUAUGUCAUUCUAUUUUCAACAAUUGGUACCAAAGCUGAUUUUCAUAAGAUAUUUGAAAAACUAGUCGACUUCAUUUUUCUUUGAAUCGACUAUUCCUAGAAUAUGGCCUAUAGUUUUCAAACCUUUGGUGAUGGUGUAUCGACAAAUAGACCACCAUUGUUUGCUGGUGAAAACUAUCCUUUUUGGAAAAUACGAAUGCAAAUUUUUCUUGAAUUAGUGGAUAGAAUUAUUUGGGAUGCAACAGUAAAUGGUCCUUUUCAGCCAACUCAUAUUAUUAAUGGCAAAACAAUUUUGAAAAAAUUUUCUGAGUGGUCUCAAGAAGAAAAUUGUAGAGCACAGUAUGAUGUUAAAGCACGAAAUAUAAUUGCCUCUACGCUAACAGUUGAUGAAUUUUUCAAGAUCUCUCAUUGCAAAAUUGUCAAAGAAACGUGGGACAUGCUGGAAGUCAUACAUGAAGGCAUGGAUGAGGUCAAGAGAGCCAGAAAGAAUCCUUUAAUACAAGAGUAUGAACUUUUCAGAAUGAGGACUAAUGAAACCAUAUAUGAGGUUCAAGAAAGGUUCACUCACAUUGUCAAUCAUCUAAUGACUCUUGGGAAAGUGUUCGAUAAAGAGGAGAUCAACAUAAAGGUACUCAAAAGUUUGAAUAGAAGCUGGCAACCAAAAGUCACUGCAAUCUCUGAAUCCAAGGAUCUAAAAAGCAUGAAUAUGACUACCUUGUUCGGGAAGUUAAGUGUACAUGAACUUGAACUUGGAAGAUUGAAAGAUGAGGAAGAGAUUGAAAAAAAGAAGUUCAUAACACUGAAGGCUAUAAACAUGAAAGCCUCAAAGACUGUACAAUCUGAGGAUCAUUUUGAUGCUGAAUUGGACAACAACGAACUAAUGUCCAUGGUGGUAAGAAAAUUUAAUCAGUUUAUGAAAAAUACUAGUCAACUUACUGACCAUGUAGGAAAUAGCAAAGGAAACAAAAUUACCAGAUCAAAUGCAGUUCAAUGUUAUGAAUGCGACAAAGAAGGACACAUCAAGCCUGAUUGUCCUGAUCUGAAGUUGAAGUAGAAAACAAACAGGAGGUUCCCCAAGGACAAGAAUAGAAAGCAGAAAAGUGCUUAUCUUGCCUGGGAAAAUACUGACUCAGAAUCCUCAAGUGAUGAAGAAUGUGAUCAAUAAGAGGAAUUAAAUAUAUGCUUCAUGGCUGGAAAAUCAUUGACAAAUUAUGAUAAUGAUACAGAGUUCGAGAAAGAACCUAUUGAAGUGAAGUACGACCUGUUGCUGGAUGCAUUUUAAGAAAUACACGCUGAAGCCGACUAUAAUACAAGGUUAAUCGACUUAACUCUGAGAGAAAGGAUUAUGAACAUAUGAUAAAUAAUCUAGUCAAUGAUAAUGAUAAACUGCAAAAGGAAUUAGAUGCAACUUUAUUAUCCUACUCGGGUUGAACAAAUAGAUUACUUGACUAGUACACUAGCAAAGUUCACUCAGGGUAGAGAUAAUUUAGAUGAUGUUUUAAAGUGAUCUGGUAGAGCUAUAUACAGACAAGGUAUUGGAUAUAAAGCUCAAUCAAAUAAGACCAAUACAAAGAAGUUUGCUAACUUGAGUAAACCUGUUAAACAUACAUGUUUUUACUACAAUAACAUUGGUCACACUAUUAGAAAUUGUUUUUACAGAAAGGUUGGUGUUCCAAAAUGAAUGUAUAAGUGGGUUCCUAAGGAACAAUUGUCUGCUAACAAACAAGGACCCAAAUUCAAAUUGGUACCUGCAUCAAAAAAUGUUAAUUGUUUUGCAGGAUAGAAAGUGAGUAGUAGUGGAGAUCUCAAGGAUGAACUAAUAUGGUUAUAUCAAAUUUCUUGAGUAUCUCCAAGCGGUAACAAUCAUUUUAUGUUUGCAUCAUGUUUGAUAUGUAUGAUUGUGUGAUUGCUUGAUUGUUUAAUGAUAUGUAUGAUUGAUUGAUUUUAAUUGUUUACUGUGAAAAUCAAUUUUUACGACUUUUAGUCGAUUAGAUUAUGUGCACAGUCGAUUGCAUGUUGUUGUAUGUAUGUUUCUGUUUUUGAAAACUCUCUGUCAUACAGUAGUCAACUUUAAAAUUAAUGGAAUGGACUAGAUAUCUCUGUCAUUAGCCUUUUUGUUUUGAAAAUUUAAAAUGGGCUAAAUCUUGGUGGAACUUAAUUUGUGCCUUUAAAUAUGAUUGCUUGUAUUGACUCUACUUCAUGCAUGUUGUAAGAAAAACCCUUAUUUUUGUUCAAGAAGUCUCUACACUCUUUACAAAUCUUCAAAAAUGGCUGCUUCAUCAUCUCAACCUGGAAAGUGCUCGACUUGUACAAGAAGAGCAGCAAAUCCUUUUGGGUGGUUCAGCGAUGAUGAUCAAAGAACUGACAUUAUAUGCAAAUGGGGUUUUAUGGAAGUGAUCAGGCAUAAGUGCAUGAGUAUUCUAUUCUUCCACAAUGAAGGCUUUGCAUUUCAAGAAUGGUUUGAGAGAGCUGGCUUGACAAAGUUUGUAGAACUCCAAGGGGAUUGUUAUCCAAACCUAGUGAAGAUUUUCUAUUCAAACCUGAGAAAAGAAGGAAACAAUCUUAUAUCAAGACUAAAAGGUGUAAACAUCUGUAUAGGCUAUUUCAUUUGGAAAUAUGUUGCAAGACUUCAACAAGAAGGAUUGAUGGCACAUCAAGUAUUUCUGGUUUCUACAAAACUGAAUUAUACAACAACUUCUUGAAGAAUCCUUACUUGGUUGGUAGAUAUGAAUCCUUUGGCAUCGAGAACUUAAGUAAGGAAGAAAGCUUGUGCGCAUAUAUGAUUACUUGGAUACUACUUCCAAGGGAUGAAGAUCAAUCACUGCUGAAUGGUGAAGAUAUAUACCUAUUGUAUGCCUUACAAACUGGUACUCCAACAAACUAAGCCUUAGUGAUUAGUGAUUAUAUGUUAAGGUUUGCAAAACGAAAAGAGUAUUAUCUACCAUACGGUGUCUUCAUCAGUAAAAUAUUAAGAAUGCAAAAUGUGGAUCUCAAAAAUGAAAAAACUAUUGGUUGCAACAAGAACAAUGUUUUGGAGAAAUUGUUUUUAGAUUCUGUGGGAUUCAGGAAAGUGAAAGAAGGCUGGAUAUUCAAGAAUGACUACAUUCCUAGUACUGAAGAUAUGAGUCCUAUAAACAUUGAUUUAUCCAAAUACAAAUUUCUACCCCAAACAAUAUUUGAAGAAUUUGUGGAUGAAAGGUUCAAAAGACUUAAUGAAAAGAUGAUAGUGCUGCAAAAAUCACUCAUAAAGCUGCAUAGAAAGAUGGACUAUGCACUAAGGAUAAAUGCCUUUUUAGAUACCUCAGCGAAUGAUUCUGAUAGUGGAAAGAACAACACUGACAAAAAGAUUAUAGAGUCUUCCAAAACAAAAUAGGGUCUUGUGUUUACAACAUUGUGUCAUGAGUCAUGUUUGAUGAAGUGUUUCGUCAUUUUAGUUUGAGUGUUUUAGUUUCUUUUGGAAUAGGCCUUAUAUGGCACUGUCUUUGAGAUAUCUGAUUGUAACACCCUUUUGGAAUAUUAAUGAAAUCAGAUGUUUUUUUUUUUUUUUAAUUUGAUCAGUGUUAAUUUGAUAAUUGAAAUCGUUUAAAUCAAAUUAAAAUGGACUCUGUGUUGACUGAAGUUGAUUAUGUUGUGUUUAUCUUUACAUUGAUAUUUUUGCAUAUUCACUUCUUAACUGUAUAAUUUCUUUCAUUAUAAUGAUUCUAAAAUGCUUGAUCUACAAAAGAUCUUGAAAGGUUUUGCAGGAACUGGAUAAACUACUGGAGUUUCUACUCAAUGGAAAGCAAUGAAAUCGAUUGCCAAUGAAGAACAAUCGACUACUGGUUUACAAGGGUUAUAAAUUCCAUUUAUUGGAAUUUGGUUUAUUGAUCUCAUAUCAUAUACAGUUUCUUUCAAUAUAUCUAUUUCUUUGAUUGAUUGAUAUAUUUGAGAUAUUAUUGAGAUUGUUGAUUGAUUGUAUCUAUGCUUAAUUGAUUUUAUUGUACAAUUUUUGGUUUUGAUACAAUUCUGUCACAUGAUUUUAAUAUGCUUUGAAAUCUGUAAAAACUGCAUUGUGCAUCUGGGUUUUGAUUAUAAAACAUGCAUAAUGACAAGGGGAGCAUUGCAUGAUAGAUUAGAUAUUUCACAUGCCUACACUUAAGGGGGAGAUUUUUUAUUCUGUUUGUUAUUCUUUUCUUUGUUUCUUGGCCAGGAGUGCAAGGUCUUGAGUGUGAGGUGUGUUAAGUUCACAAUUCACCAUGUUUUUAUGAGUUAAAUCACUCCUUUUUGAGUAACUUUUAGUUCUUAUAUGAUUUUGAGAGAUUAGAUUUGUCUUUUCAUGAUAAAAUAGUUGUUUUGAUGAAUUUGUGCUAAUGAGGUGUUUUUAGAUGCGUUUUUUUUUUCUUAGGAUUGUGCUAGUCUUGUUUUAGUCUUUGUAAGUGUAAAUUUCAGUUUUUGAAGCUAACUUCAUGAGGAUUUUUCCAACUUUUUAAUGCAGAGCAAUUCAGUGACUUAGUGUUUUGUUAGGUAAGUAGGUAAGUAUGUUUUGUUAGGUUGCCUUGAUUUAGAAAUUCUAAUUCUGCAGUUCUUUUUGCUUCAACUAGUUUGAUUUAUCUAUAAAUCAUGUUCACUCAUAUAUGUUUGCAUCUUGCAUUGCAUGGUUGAAUCAAGCCAAUAGACAAAAUUCACAUUUGAUGAUAGAAGCACCAGUGUGUUGUUUGAUGCCAAACUAGAUUCUAGUUAGUGAUUUUCGUUUCUGCAUGCAUUUCUUGUUUGUUGCAGUCAUUGCAUAUUCAUUUUCUGCUUUUUUGAUUCAUUGAAGCAUUUUUGCAAAUAAUUUGGUAAAACUGCAUGUUCAUUCAAGCAUUUCAUUAAAUAGUUUGAGAUUUCAUAAUUAGGCAUAGCUUUUCGUAAUUGUAAGCAUCCCAACAUAUUACAUUAUAUCAUUCUUACUGUUUUAAGUAAUUCUUAUUUUCUAACCAGUUUAAUACCAUUUCAUGAUGAAUUAGUCAUCUACCUAAUGCAUAAGCAUACUAUUCUAUCAUAGCUCAUUUUAAAAAUAGUAUUUUACAUACAUUUUAAUUCAUUUUAUCAUUUCCCCAUCUUCUUGCGAAAACUUAACACUAACUAAGAAACAGAUUAGCUUUCAUACCAAUUUGUUGUACAAUUCAAUGCCAAAAUUAUUCUAAAGAUAAGAACUUGCAGAAAGGGUAAAACAAAUCACACAUUGGGAAAUGAUGAUUCAAUAAUUAUAUAAAGUUAUAAAUAUUAUGAAUUAAUGAUUUUUUAUUGGUUUUCUACAAUUACUCGUAUGUUUUUAUUUUUUUUUCUGAGAUUUAUCUAUUUUUAUUAACUAUUUGUAAAAAGUAUCAUUUGGGUUGAAUUUUAUAUUUAUAAAUAGGAUUUUUCAUCUUAAUAAUAUAAUACAUAAAAUUAGUCUUCAUUCUCUUUUAUUUUCUCUUUUUCCUCUUUUUUUUUUCUUCAUUAUCAGCUUUAUAUUUUAUAACAAUAAAUACAUAUAUCAUAUUCUGUUUAAAAAAAAAAGAGCCUUAUUUCAUCCUUCGUAUACAAUGCGUAUUCUAUUCAACCUUACAAAGGGACACAAAGUUCUUACAAGUAAGUUAAACCUACAAACAAAAUCUAAAUAAUAGAAAAUGUAUGUAUAAGACGAUUGGUCCACCAACCUGACAUUAAUACUAGACAACGUCUACAAUUGUUUGAUGAUUUUCAAGGGAAGACAUCUACAUUUUGAACACAUAGUUUUAUUUAUUAUUAAUAAAAUUAUACAAAAGAAUAAUCAUCUAGUAUUCCUAAACUAGUUAGGAACUAAACCAUUCAGGUCUUAACAAUAUUUAAUUUAAGACUAAAUUUUGUAUGAAUAAAUAAAAACUUUCUUAUGUCCAUUAAUCAACAAAAAUAUGAUUUCUAUUUAUGUUAUAAGUUUUCAAUAAUAAUAGAGAAUAAAAAAGAAAUAAUUUUUAAUUUAAAAAAUAGUUUUCCACUUAAUUACUAUAAUAAUUGAGUAUUUCUCUCUAAAUUACUUAACAAAAUAAAUUUUUAGUUUUAAAUGACCAACUUGCAAAUUAAUACAAAAAUUGUCUGAUAAUUAAAUCAAUCAAAAUAUAAUAUAUUUUGUGGUGAAUAAUAUACUUUACGCAGGAUAAGGAUGACGCUUUUGGCGUACGAGGCUUUGAUGGUCCCCAAACAAUAAAUAGGGGCCAAGUUUAAUGUAAUGUGCGGCGAAAAUUACAUAGACACAAUUUAGGUCUUGGUCCCAAACAUCACAAUCCUUCUGCCAAUAAUUACAUAGACACAAUUUAGGCACGUGAGAGCUAAUUUUGUAAUCAUUUCAUCGGAUGUUCUCGAAGGGAUAUGUAGGACAGUGUUUUCUAAAUUGAAUUAAUUAAUUUUAGCAUAGUGCUUAAUAAACAUUAGAGCUUUCAAUUUCACAUUCACACAGAAAGUAAUUGGCACGGCCUAAAAGGAUAAUAAGUAACUAUCCGAUAAAUAUACUAAUAAACACAAUUCAAUAAGUUCUAUUUAGUAAUAUUGGUCCAAUUAGAUAAAUAUUGUUAACAAAAGAGAUUUUUUUGAUUUAGUUAUCAUAUAUUAAAGUAUAAUCAAAUAUUAAUAGUUUGAAAAUUGAUGUAAGAAAUAUUUUUUUAUAUCUUAUAUUAAUAAGAUAUAUGAUUAAUUUGGUUUAAUGGUAUAUUAUAUAUAUAUAUAUAUAUAUAUAUAUAUAUAUAUAUAUAUAUAUAUAUAUAUAUAUAUAUAUAUAUAUAUAUAUGGGUUUGCUAACUUGCGUAUGUCUAUUUUUCAGUUAGUACAAUUUAGCAAUGUAUAUCGGGUUUCAGUAGACAAAAAUACUCCUAUAUAUCAUGAAUUCUAAGUUUUAAGGUUAAGGGUAUUUUAAUAAUUUUCAUUCUCAAAAUUAAAAAAAUAAAAAAAAAAACCCAAACUCUUACCCAUCUCUCUCGUUCCUCUCGACCAUUUCUCUUUCAUCUCUUUCACUCCAACCUUUUCUCUGUCAUCCCUACUCUAGCUCCAAUUGAAAAAAAAUCAGAAACACUUGCCUUAUUUUAAUAAUUUUCAUUCUCAAAACUAAAAAAAGAAAACCUCAAACCCUUACUCACCUCCUUCAUUCCUCUCAACCCUUUCUCCUUCAUCUCUCUCACUUAAACAUUUUCUCUAUCAUCUCUGCACUAGCCCUAACUAAAAAAACAUUCAUUAUUAAACGAUUUACUUUUGUAAAGAGUUGAGUCAUAUUCACCUUUCGAAAAAAGUUCAUUCAAAAUCUCUUUAAUUUCAUUAUCUUCACUAUAUAUAUUACAGCCGACGGGCACAACUUGCACCAAGACUUAUGAGCAUCCUUCCUUUACAUUCCUUUACAUUCUGAGACUACUACGUAACAUUGCUCCCUGGCCAUUUAAUUUUUUUGGUAGAAAUUCAUUAACUUGUUUUCCUUUACUAAAGAAAAAAACAAAUCAAAAUACAAUAAAAUUCUCAAUUAUAAAAUCAAACAAUAAAAAUUCUAAAUCUUGAAAUUUUAUUUAUAAUUAUAUAAAGAAAAAAUUAGGUGCUUUAAUUUUUUUAUUUAUGUAAGUAUUUUUUUUCUUNNNNNNNNNNNNNNNNNNNNNNNNNNNNNNNNNNNNNNNNNNNNNNNNNNNNNNNNNNNNNNNNNNNNNNNNNNNNNNNNNNNNNNNNNNNNNNNNNNNNNNNNNNNNNNNNNNNNNNNNNNNNNNNNNNNNNNNAUAUAUAUAUAUAUAUAUAUAUAUAUAUAUAGGUUUGUUAAUGCGCGUACACUUGUUUUUCAAUUGGUACAUUUUAAGAAUGUAUACCAGGUUAUAGUAGACAAAAAUACCCUCAUAUAUUAUGGAUUCUAAGUUUUAAAGUCAAGGAUAUUUAGAUAAUUUUCAUUCUCAAAACUAAAAAAAGAAACCCCCAAACCUUUACUCCCCUCUCUCAUUCCUCUCAAUCCUUUCUCUAUCAUCUUUUUCACUCCAACCUUUUCUCUAUCAUUUCUACUGUAGUCCCAAUUAAAAAAAAAAUCAGAAACACGGGCUGUUAAACAAUUUCUUACAAAAAAAAAAAGAUUUUAUAAUGAGUUUUCAUUUUAUAAUUUUUGUCUUAUCUAAUUUUAUCUAAUUUUCACAAGCAUAAUGAUAUAUGAAGGAAUUGGUAAUUCGCCUGGAAAAAAAUCAGAAACACUCGCUAUUAAACAAUUGGUUUAAACCUCUUUUUUAUAACUUAGGAAUCAAAGGUUUACAUUUUUAAAAGCGGGGACUAAACUGAACAUCCGCUCAUAACUUAGGGACCAAAAAGAGGUUUAAACCUAAACAAUUUCUUACAAAAAAAAUGAUUUUAUAAUGAGUUUUCAUUUUAUAAUUUUUGUCUUAUCUAAUUUUAUCUAAUUUUCACAAGCAUAAUGACAUGAGAAUGAAUUGGUAAUUGGCCUGAAGGUUUUUUAAGAGAUGAUGAUUCAACAUCUGCAGAUGAUGUAAUUAGAGAGGUUAGUGAAGAUGAUGAAAUUGAAGAACCUUUGUCUGAAGGCGAAUAUGUCAAUGACUCAACUCUUUACAAAGGUAAAUUGUUUAACGACGAGUAUUUCUAAUUUCUUUUUUCAGUUGGAUCUACCAUAGGAUGAUAGAGAAAAUGUUGGAGUGAGAGAUGAAAGAGAAAGGGUUGAGAGGAAUGAGGGAGGUGAGUAAAGGUUUGGGAUUUCUUUUUUUAGUUUUGAGAAUGAAAAUUAUUUAAAUAUCCUUGACUUUAAAACUUAGAAUCCAUAAUAUAUGAGGGUAUUUUUGUCUAUUAUAAUCCGAUUAAAAUGUACCAACCAGACAUACACGGGUAAGAUUUCAUUAUUUGUUGAUAUUGUCUAUUUUAUGAUUUUAUAAUAUCAAAAACUCUAUAAAUAUACGAGAUGUUUUUUAGUGAGUACAAUAUAAUUCAUAUUCAUUAUUUUAAUUUUAUAAAUACUGAAACUAUCUUAUAUUAUCCAUUAUUCACUAAUAUUUUUAUUAUGGUAGAAUAAUUUAUUAAAUAUAUGUAGAGAAUACAUGUCAAAUAUUUUUUUUUUUUCCUUUUGGUAACACCUGUCUCAAUUUGGGCUACAAGUUAUAAUAAUAUUCACAAUAAGAAGAAAGGAGUCAAUGCACACUCUGUUCCAAAUUCUGUAUAUCCUUGUGGAUCUCAUCUAUUUCAGUAAAAAGAUUAAUGAGUCACACCCGAAGAAAUCUUUGAGAUAUAUAAUGAAAGAAUCACAAUAUUAUUUGGAUGAUUCAAUAAAACACCUUAUGGAAACUUUACCAAUCAACUUCUUGGCAGCAUUUGAUGAUGCUGUUAGUAUUUUGAGUUUGUGAAAAAAAUAGUUUAUAGGAUAGAGAAAAUAUGGAAAUAGUAGAAUGUAAAAAUAAUAGUUUGAAGAAGUAUAUUUUUUUAGUUGUCUUAGUUGUGGUAGAUGUUGUUUUACAUCAAAUUAUGGAGUAUAUGAGUAUUUAUAGACCCAUAGAUUAUUUUAGAAAAUGCUAACCACAUCUUUUGUGGAAUGCUCUAGAUAUUUACUUAUGUAGAAUGCUCUUGAUUUUUUUCUUCCCAUCUUAAAUUUUCCUAUAGUAUUCUAGAAUUUGUAUUACAUUUUAAUACUUCUAUCUUAGGAUUUUCUAUAUUAUUCUAGAAUUUGCAACACAUUUUAAUACUCUUUCUUGAUGCAAAUUCAGCUCCAAGCAUAGAGCAUAGUAGCUCAAAUCUUGGUCUUGGUAACACCUAUGUAAAAAUAUCUGCAAUUUGGUCUUCUAUUGGACAAUACUCGAGUUGAAUUUGCUUAGUUGUCUGUUUAUUUCGAAUGAAGUGAUAUUUAAUGGCUAUAUGUUUUGUUCUUUGAUGAUGGACUGAAGUUUUUGCUAUUGUUGGUAUCGAUUUGUUGUCAUAAUAGAUAAUGGUCAUCCAAUCUUGUAGUUGACCUAUUUCUUCAAGUAUUCUUCGUAGCUAAAUUACUUAACUCGUGAUUUCAGCAGUUGCUACAUACAUUUCUUUUGUUGUUGAUUGUGCCACAAUUACUUGCUUCUUUGAUACUUUAUAAUGAAUUUGACUUGGCUUUUGCAUGAAUCUUGAUAGAAGACUUGUAGCAUACGUAAUGUCCGGGUGUGCGGUUGUGAGAUACAAGAUACUUUCACUUAAACUCCUGCAGCGUGAUGCAUUUGCCUCUUAUGCUUCAUUAUCUUUUUGCAGCUUCUCGUUUACCACAAAUGGAGUAAUUACAUGUCUACAAUCAUACAUCUUGAAAUUCUUUAAUAGAGUUUCAAUAUAUUUCUUUUGAGAGAUAAAUAUACCUUCUUUUUCUUGUUUCACCUCUAUAUCGAGGAAAUAGUUCCUCAAGCGAAGGUCGAUCAUCUUAAAUGUCUUCAUUAUGUCUUCUAUAAAUUCUUUCAUCAUCUCCGUUUUUUUCCAGUAUAGAUAAGAUCGUCAAUAUAUAAGGAGAUAACGAGAUGAUACUGAUCUUGUGCCUUAAUAUAUAGUGUUGGUUCACUCUUACUCCUCCUGAAUCCUUGAUCGAUGAAGUAUUGAUCAAUCUUGCUAUACCAUGCUUGAGGAGCUUGCUUCUGGUCAUAUAAGGCAUUUUUUUGUCUUAGUACUUUUCCUUCAUUGUCUUUGUUGAUGAAGCCUUGUGGUUGUUCAACAUAAAUCACUUCUUUGAGCACUCCAUUUAGAAAUGUUGAUUUGAAAUCCUGUUGAUAGAUGUUCCAUCCUUUUUGUGUUGUAAGAGCUAUUAAAGCUUUAAUUGUAUCUAAGCGAGCAAUUGGAGCAAAUGUCUCAUUGCAGUCUAUUCCUGACUAUUAUGAGUAGCCUUUAGAGACAAAUUUUUCCUUAUGUUAUAUGUUUUGGAUGUAGGGUCAAGGAUCUCAACAAAACACUCCUUCACCCUUUCCUUUGAGUCAACUUAGGUUAUCUUGAAUACUCUUAGUUAAAAUCCUUUCUAGUCCAAGCUUCAAACUGUCCAGGUGUACCUGUCAAAGGCACUAUGAUGCUCAACAUCUCGACUAAAGGUGAGUUCUUUUGUUUGUAAGUUGUAGAAUUGAUAGCCUUUUAAUUAUGUGUUAUAUCUCAAGAAUAUUCGUCGUAUAGUCUUGUCUUCAUGUUUGUGCCUCAUUUGAUCAAGAACAUGUAUGUAGUAAAUAAAUCCAAAUACUCGUAGGUUUUUAACUAAUGACUCUCUUCCCCUCCAAGCUUCAAUAUGAGUCUUGUCUUGGAUUACCCUAGAUGGACAUUUGUUUAAAAUUUAAACUCUAGUAUAGACUGAUUAAGCCCAAAAGAGUUAGGCAUAGCAUUGAUCUUGCCAUCUCCAUGACUAAGCAAUUCUUUCUCUCUGACACACCAUUUUGUUGUGGAGUAUAUGCGAUUGUAAGUUGUCGUUCUAUGCCUUCAUCGUCGUAGAAUUUGUCAAACUUAUGAGAUAUGUAUUGUUUGCCAUGAUCACUUCUAAGUACUUUUAUCUAUUUUUCUCUUUGCUUCUUGAAAAGAGCCUUGAAAUACUCCAAAGACUUCUGAAUUUUCCUUUAAGAAAUAGAUUCAUGUCAUUCUAAAGAAGUCAUCAAUGAAGAAGAUGAAAUACAUGUUGUGAUAUGUGAAGUUGAGAGAAACACUAGAAAAGGGGUUGAAUAUUGUUUCUAUAUAUCUUUCCGAGACUAAUAUAGUGAUCAUGAUUUGAAUGAUCUUCAUGAGCUAGUUAAAACAUACUUUAUAAGUUAUUCUGAUGAACAUAUUUAUAGUCUUGGGUUUAGCUCAUCCUUCUAGUGGUUAUGAAGGAGCGAAUCUAGGAAAAUGUGGUGUAUGUUGAAGGUGCAUAUGUUGAGAAAUUGUUUUCCACAUAGGAUGAUUUUUUUUUCAAACUAAAGCAUAACACACACAUUUUAUACUGGUUCACUCAAUUGAGCCAUGUCUAUUUUUUCUCUAAAAUAACUUAACCCACUCCUGGUUGUACAGUAUUCUUCACCACUCUUGGUAUCCCUAGACGUUACCCGGUAUCCUCCAAAUACACUCGUCUAGUUGAGUUCACUCACUCCUAGUUUUCACUAGACAUACCCGUCUAGUUACCGUUUAACUCCACCAAAUUAAACGUUAGAGUUUCACCUACUCCUAGUUUCCAUUAGACAACCUAUCUAGCUAUUUUUUAACUCCUUAAAGUUAAACAUACAGUGUUUUAAUUCUCUUAAUAAUUUACAAUCAACAGAUUGAUUACAAGUCCUUAGAUGAUAACUCUCAUAGAGAGGAUAUGCAUUCAGUGCAAUUCAAUCUAAAAGAUGCAUUGAGUGUUUUCUCUCUUCUCUUUGUUAGAAAAAUCAUGAAGAUAAAAUUUUUAAUGAUGCCCAAAUCAAGUCUCAAGCGUUCACCUUGUCUUCCUGAAGACUUUUUUUAUGUUUUAAAGCUUUUGUAAUAAGUAGAUCUAUGUAUAGGGCUUUAUUUGUUGUUGAUUCAAUGUAUUGUUUGCUUUAAAGUUCGUUUUGGAAUCACAAAAACCCUGCAAUAAUUGAUUAACACUUAAGAUAAUCGAUUAUCACAAAUAGGUUUUUAAAAACUCAUUUUUUUCUCUAGAAGAAUCGAUUACCAGCGUAUGAUAAUCAAUUAUGACUUACCAUAAUCGAUUAUCAUAACUAGCCGUUGGAGUUUUUAGGCAUGUUUUUUAUACAAAUUUUGUAUAUGGAUAUCAGAAGGUAAAAUCCGUAUGUAAAAUCCGUAUAUAACUCGUUUUUCAGGAUCUGCAUGUAAAAUCCGUAUGUAAUACCUAUGUUACAUACGGAUCAAAAUCCGUAUGUAAAUAUCAGUAGGUAAUAACAAUUUUUCUUGUCCUUAGCUCAUCAUCCUUGGACCAUUUACCACCACAUUUCCAAACCCUUCAUCGAAGGAAACACCCCUACAUGCACAUCUCCUAGCUUUGGCCCAACCUAACCAAGGAGGUUGCCAUCACAUUAGAAGAAAGACAUGUGAUAAAAAUCCUCUCCAUUAGAAGGAGGACAUGUGGUAAAAAUCCUCUCCAUUAGGAGGAGGACAUGUGGCAAAAAUCUUGUCCAUUAGGAGGAGGACAUGUGGCCACUACCUAUGGAAAAUCCUCUCCAAUGUGAGCAUAAUGCAUGACCGCUCUCACAAAGGUUGGACGACCCACUCCCUUACUCGCCAAGCUAGGUUGAAAACAUUGACCCUUUGGUCUACCUAGCUUAUGGACGUCCACUUGGGUCAACAUUGGACCUUGGCCUUUGUUGAAUCAAGUGGUCUAAAAACCCUACACCAUUUUGCCUAAAAUACAAGGCCCAAAAUAAAACCUACACUACUUGGCCCAAAAUAUAAGGCCAAAUUUAUUCUACUCCUAGUUAAACCUUCAGAUAUACAAUGUCAACAAGCAUAUAAAAGAAUACAAGAACAUUUUACCUGCGAAGGGUAAAGAUGGGAUGAUGGCAUCCACUUUCCUGAUGACGUCGACAUCUUUGAGACGAAGGAUGGUGUUUAUGACCAUUGAAACGUUUUUCAUGUUGGUGAGUUCCAUGCUUGUAAGCCUCACUUAUUUUUGCAAAUCAGAACCUAGCAUGGUUAGCAGCCAAAGAGGAAAACGCAACAAAUUUCAUACGUGGAGGCAGGAUAAAGUUUUACUUGACCCAACAGUGGGCACCAAGUGAUCUUAACAAGAUCAUGAGCGUGGAUUUGCAUAUAGAUGGAAAGAUCCUAGUGGUGGCUUGAAAGCUCUUGCUGGUCAGAAUCAAAUCCCUUGUUGUUGAAAGGUGAGAGAUUUACAUGCAAAAGACUCUUCUACACUAUCAGUAAAAGUGUUUAGAUUUUUAUAAAUAUAGUUGAGUAUGAAUGAAUAUUUCUUAGGAAGUACUAGUUGUAUUUAUAGAAUCAAUAUGAACCGUGAAUCUAUUUUUCUAUGGGAAUAAUGCUUACCUCAAGUAUAUAAUAAAAAUGUAGUUAAUAAUAAUAUAAUGAUGCAUAUCAUAAAUAAUAGUCAUAAUAUUAAUUGUGAUAUGUGGAUAUUAUCUUAAUAGAUAUAAGAUUUGACUGCUUUAGAAUAACGAAACUUAAUGAACCUUAUUAUUAUAUCAUGUUCUUUAAUAUAUCUAUUCAAUCGAGUAAAAAAUAUAUAAAAUUAUUUCAUUUUCAUUAUAUAGGAAUUCAUCACUAACAUCUUUUUACUCUAUUACACUAGUGCAAAAUUGGGCUUUAACGUCACCCCAUAGACGUCAGAACAGAGAACACGCAACAUAAAUUAUUGACCGGUGGCAUUUUCGUAAAUAAGUGGGCAUAUAGACGUCAGUUCGGAGGGGCACCAACGUCUAUAACAUACUAGACGUCGAGGCCCCUCCUAACUGACGUCUAUAUGCCUGAGAGGUAGGUGAAAAGUCACUUCUUUCGGCCAUAUAAAUGUCGUUUAGGAGGGGCACCGACGUCUCUAAUAUUACAGACGUCGGUGCCCCUCUAACCGACGUUUAUAUGCCUGUCAGGUAGGUGAAAAGUCAUUUCUUUCCGCCAUCUAGACGUCAGAUCCUGCCAUACUGACGUCUAUAUGCGAUUAUAGACGUCGGCGCCCCCUUCAUUUGACGUCUAUAUGUACCACGAAUAUUAAUUUUUAAAUCGAAUGGACGUCUCAUUAGUGAGAGCCCCGACGUAUAUUCGAGAACAGACGUCAGUUGCUGGGGAAACCAACGUCUGAUAUUCUUUUAAAUAAUACAUUACAAACCAACAGUUACGCGUACUUCAUCGUCUUCCUUCGCAUUGCAUUUCGAGGUGCGUUUGAUCUCUUGUGAACAAUUUAGCCUUAUGUUUACUCCAAUUAAAGUAAUCUUUGAUGUAUUAUCUUUCGUUUGAACCGAUUAAAAUGAGUGUUGUGUUUUGGUGCGGUUUUUCUUGUGUCUUUGGGUAGUGUAGUGCACCUUCUCCCUUUGCUAGCUUUCCUCGUAAGAAAAGCUUGCGUCUUUUGGAUAUCUUAUGGCAUAUCAACCGAAAGCCAAUCCUGGGUCCUUACCUAGUUUGCAUGUCACCAUAUUAUUUUUCUUUGGCGGUUGGAAUGGAACUAGGCAACGACCCAUGUUCUGUUUUGGGUUGAAAUGCCAUAAGAGAUGCAAAAGACACAAGUUUUUCUUACGAAGAAGCUAGGAAGGGGGUGCUACAAUGCUACCCAAAGACACGAGCAAAACUGCAUUAAAAUACAACGAGUACUCAGUAGACGUCGGUUAAUGCCAUGUCCGACGUCUAUUGUGCCCUUAGACGUCAGUUAGUGCCAUGUCUGGCAUCCUUAUAGUGUCCUUAGACGUCGGUUAGUGUCCUGUCUAACGUCUUUAUAGUGCCCUUAGAUGUCGGUUAUAAUUGCAUUGACUGACGUCUGUAUAAAUGUCAGACAUGGAACUAAACCGAUGUCUGUAAUGACGUCGGACCUGUAGAGUCCGACGUCCGAUUAACGUCACCCAUAUAGACGUCAAGUCUGAAUGUGACGUUAAAAGCCCAAUAUAACAAAUAUCUAAAACCCUUUAUGCACUAAUGAUUCUAUCAUAAGUAACUUUUUGUUUUCUCAUCUUAUAUAAAACAAAUAAAUAUAUUAAAAGAAACUUUAGAAUAUUUAAAUACUUAAAAAUAAAUGUUAAAAUACUUAAAUACUUUAGGAUAUUUAAAAACUUAAAAUAAAUACUUAAAUACUUUAGAAUAUUUAAAAACUUAAAAUAAAUACUUAAAUACUUAAAAUUCUGCAUCGUUAAAAAUUAAAUCCUUAAAAUAAAUUUUAUUUAUUUAGUUUUAAAAGAAACUUUUAGACAUUUAAAAUAUAUAAUUGACCUUUUUUAAGAUGAAAUAAAAAGAAUAUAUUUUUACAGAAUAAAAUAAAAAAUUGGUCUAAAACUGAAAAAUCUAAUUAAAAUUUGACAGGUAUAAAAAGAUAAUAAAUAUAUGUUUAACUACCCAAAAUUUUAAGAAUCUUAUUUUACAGAAAAUCGAAAAAUAUAUUUAAAUCUAACUACUAUUGUACUUCUUUCAUCUUUUUCACAUGUUUAAAAGUUUUAAGAUAUUUUAUUCAUUUCUAUUCACAAAAGAGUUCACCUUAUCACCGGAGGUAGCUCUAUAAAUGAAUUCUCCCACAACUCUGCUUAUUCACACAACUGAACUGAAGAAAGAAGAGAAAAACCUUAAUCUGUUUCAUAGCCAGCCAAAGAAAUGGCGAGUGCAACGCUCUUUGCUAUCUUCCUUCUUUCUGCCAUAACUUUCUACCCUCCUUCAACCACUGCUCAACCUGUCACAGACGGGGAGGGUAACAUCGUUAGAAAUGGUGGCCGAUUCCAUAUAAGGCCAAUCUAUUUUGGAGGCGGCGGUGGAAUUGAACGAGCCAGAACUGGAGACGAAGGAUCCCCUCUCUCUGUUGUGCAAUCUCCCUUCGAGACUGAUCCAGGGCAACCAUGGAUUAUUCGAUCCUUGUUCAAAUCUCAAUUUAUUCCUGAAGGCAGAGUGAGUAUCAGUUACGAAUAUGUUGAACUCGGUGACUCUGUUGAGAGUAAUGAGUGGGUAGCUGUUAAGGGUCAGCCUGAAGGAACCGUCGUUAAAGUUGGCUACUCAAAUUCCGUCUCAGGUUUCUUCACUAUUCACAGAGCUUCCUUUGCCAAUAGCUAUAAAUUUCAGUUCUGUUCAACUGCUGGGUCCUGCGGUAAUGUUGGGAUUGUUAGGGAUGAAGCAGGGAACAGGAUUUUGGCCAUCGAUCAGGAUACCCCAUUCCAGUUUUAUCUUGAGCAACUUCCCUCUGAAGUAUCUAAAUGAAGCUCUGAACAUGAAAAAUCGUACACUUUCUCCGUUGGAGAGAGGUGUCUACGAUGUGCUUUGGAUGUAAUUAACUACCCAACACUAAGUAAAUAACAUAUCCAAAGCUUAUUUCUGUUUCUUCCUUUCUUUUUAGUAUUUAAAAACUUUUACUUCACUGAAGUUAUUAUACGAUAAUUU
rnacentral:lncRNA from 1 species